CUCUUAUCAGAACAGCAUGUCUGGCUUUCACAUUGCUGCCUGCAAGAUUUGGUAAGAUCUUGGCUCUGGAUACAUGACCUCAUUGGACCCUGUCUUCCUGUGUGUCACUCACCUCACUCAUCUCCUGGAAAGGAACAUGUUUCCCAACCUCUUCCACAUCAGCACUGAGAAAGGAAAUUGCAGGCUCUGAGUGGUAAGUGACCUGGACAGUGCCAAAGUCUUGGGAGGGAGGUAAGACGGAGGAGGGCUGAAGAAGCACAAUGAGAUGCUUUCACCCUGCCAAAUUCCCAUCCCUCUUUGGGCUGCAGGAGAUGCCAGAAAAGGAAGCCAAGAGGAGGUGGGAGGAUAAGUGGAAACAGCUCCUCCUCUUCCCUGGCACUUCCUGGCUGGUUGUCUAUAAACAUCUCUCUAGCACUACCCCACGCAGGGAGUCUGAGGAGAUGCAUGGACUUGCUCGACUGUGUGAGCCAUGCCAUCUAUAUUAGAGGCCUUGUAACUCCGAGAGAAGAUGGGCAAACGUGAUGAGCAGGUAGGGACAGGGUAGAUUGGGCGUGUAGCCUAAUGACCUUUCCAGUAACAGCCAGAGAGCUCUUGGGACAGCUUCCUAGAUAAACUGGACAAGGAAGAAAACCAAACGUUCUUUCCCGUUCCUUCUCUCACCGUCACACUUCCAAGUCUCUCCCUUAGUUCUGUGAAAGAGGAACAAGGUGGCGUGCCUGUCGGGAGAGUGAUCAGAACAGGAGAGCAGCUCUGCCUGGAGACUGAAGGCAAGCCAGAAUGGAAAGCAGAUACAUUUGGGAUGGUGAAAUCCCACUCCAUGGACUUGUGGCCGGAGCGGAGCCUCAUCACUCCGUGGGCUGAGGAAAAGUUCCUCCUGCUACUUCAGUUGAAGGCCCUGCUUCAGCAGACUGUGACAAGCCCGAGACAGUUCCGUGUGGGGCCCUGGGAAGCACCCACUGCCAAGCGUUGUUGACUGCACCAACCACCCCUGUGGAGCUUCAUCCACGGCAGUUCACCGUGACGAUGCACACUGAGGGCAAAUGCCGUAAUACAGGAGGACCCUUCAUCAGCCCGAGAUAAGUUCAAACAUUCCAGAGGAUACUGAACCGUGCUGAAUAUUAAACCCGGUGCACACUCUGCUGUUCCUGGAUGUAUAUAUCCACUCUGUGCAUGCGUCGUGCU